rnacentral:rRNA from 1 species
AUGAUUUUAAAUGACAAGCAAGAAAAUGUAUUGAGAAUAUCCUUGGCUUAUUUCUUAUUUGCUACCCAGAUUUUGCUGCAUCCAACAUGUCAUCCACAGAACAUGAUCAUAUCAAUGUAUGCUAAACCAAAUAUGCAAAGCUGCUGCUUGCAAAACAUGAUGUAUACCAACACGUUUAUUUACCAGUCUAUUUUUGUUUAUGGGUGUAAUUAUGGUUUUGUUGAUGUACUCGACAAUAGAAACAUUAUCCUCCUUGGCAUAAUAUGUUAUUCUCUACCGCCUAUCUUCAUGUUGUUAACUGAAGUUUACAAUUUUCAUAUACGCUCUAAUGAGCACUGUUGA